rnacentral:misc_RNA from 1 species
CGGACACUUUCUCUUUCAGAAAAGUCAUUUGUAAUGGUUAUAUAAUUCAAAUAGGCAUAUAUAUGUAUAUGUCCUAUGUUCGGGGAUUAUUUUCCCAUUUUGUGAUUAGGGUGACAGUUAGAAAUUUCAGUAUGAAUGUUACAUGGGAUGUAGUUGAGGUUAUUGCUGAACAACAUCAGGUGCCUUUGAAUAUUUCCAGAAAUGUUGUCAGACUGUUGGAUGAUGAAAAUACCAUUCCAUUCAUUGCAAGAUAUCGCAAAGAACAAACUAAUGCAAUGGAACCUGACAAACUCCGCUCUAUACUAGAGACCCUUACAGAAAUGAGAUCUGUUGAGAAGAAAAUACAAUCUGUUCACAACUCGAUUGAUAAACUUGGUAAAAUGUCAAAGUUUCUAGAGAAAUCCUUGCUAUCUGCGAAAACAAUGCAUGAAGUUGAAAUCUUGUAUGCUCCUUUUAAACCUGGAAGCCAGAGAAGUUUGGCUGAACAAGCACGGGAAGCUGGGCUUGAAAUUACUGCUGAAAAUAUUCUCUAUAAUGGCUGGAGGGUGAACUUUGCAACACUUAUACAACCACCGCCUUCAAAGUAUUCCUCCAUAGAAGAAGUGAAGACUGGUGUAAAGUACAUAAUUGCUGACAUUAUUGCCAAAAAUACAGAAGCAAGAGAAACUAUCAAUAAACUAUUCCUGUCCCAUUAUGUGGUUUUAGAGUCAAAGAAGAAGAAAACUGUUGAGAAAAAGACAAAAGCUGGUGAUAAAAAGGCAAAAACUAAACCUGGAAAGAAACAUGUGGAGGAACACAAGUUUUCCAACUAUUUUGAUUUCAAAUGUGGGAUUAAAUCUAUCAAACCUCACCAGGUUCUUGCAAUCAACCGGGGUGAAGAAAAUAACAUAUUGUCAGUGAAAAUUGUCAUUCCUGACAGUAUAAAAUAUGAAUAUCUGAAUUUUUGCCGCAGAACCUGGAUUCGACCUGCAACACCACCAGAAAACAAAAAUAUUCUGGAAGACUGUUUCCAGGAUGCCUUUAAACGACUUGUAUCCCCUCAGAUGUGUCGUUUUACUAGAUCCGAGCUGACGAAAACAGCAGAGAAGGCCUCUAUUGAAGUGUUCUGUAGUAAUCUAAAGAGUCGUUUGCUAAUGGCACCACUGAGAGGGAGAAUUGUACUGGCAAUAGACCCUGGCUUUCUGCAUGGCUGUAAGGUCGCUGUUAUAUCAGAAACAGGUCAGGUAUUGUAUACAGACACUCUAUACCUUCACAGCCAUAAAAACAAUGUGGUCAAAGAAAGCGAAAAAUUAGUUGACAUCAUCAGCACUAACAGGUGUGAGGUAAUUGCCAUUGGCAAUGGUACUGCAUGUCGGGAGACAGAAUCAGUAUUAUCCAAAUGCAUCAGCCAAAAAUUAUUCGGAUCACAGAAGAUUCAAUAUUGUAUUGUUGAUGAAAGUGGUGCUUCAAUUUAUAGUAUAUCUACUGUAGCUCAGAAGGAGCUUCCUGAUAUGGACCAGAACAUUCGUGGGGCUGUCUCUAUAGCUCGCCGUCUUCAGGAUCCUAUUGCAGAACUAGUCAAGAUUGAACCUAAACAUAUAGGAGUUGGAAUGUAUCAGCAUGAUGUUGCGGACAACAAGUUGAAAGAUGCUUUAGAUGGUAUUGUACAGGAGUGUGUCAGUUUUGUUGGAGUUGACUUGAAUACAGCUAGUGAACAUCUAUUAAGGAAGGUGUCAGGUUUGAGCUCAUCACAGGCUAAACAUAUCAUUGAAUGGCGAGAAAAACAAGGAAACUUUUGUAACCGUGAGCAGUUAAGACUGGUGAAGGGCAUCGGGGAGAAAACAUACAAUCAGUGUGCAGGAUUUAUCCGAAUUAACCCUACUGGAAAUAAAUUAAAUUUGAGUGAAGAAGUGUGUGAAAUAGAAGCAGGACCUUCAAAAGGGAAAAAACGAAAACUGAAAACAGAGUCAAAGCAAAGUUCCAAGAAAGUCAAGCUGGAAGUGAAAGAUGGACCAAAUCCACUGGAUCGCACCUGGAUCCAUCCAGAGUCUUAUGGUAUUGCUUGCAAGUUCAUAAAUCAGGUUGGUGCUUCAAUGGACCAAAUUGGUUUCCCACCAUUUAUUGACAAAGUAAAGCAGCUUGUGAAUUCCACAAGUGUUGAGAAACUUGCUAAGCAAUAUGAGAUUGGCGAACCAACCAUGUCAUUGAUCGUCACAGGGCUUACACAAGCAAUCAACUAUGACAUCAGAGAAGAGUCUGAGAAGCCAUUGUUUCGUACCAGUGUGAUGGGCUGGAGUGACUUGAAAGUGGGAGAACAGCUGAGUGGUCGUGUCAGCAACGUCACCCAUUUCGGUGCAUUUGUUGAUAUUGGCGUGGGCACUAAUGGUCUGCUGCACGUGAGUGAAAUCAAUAAAAGCCUACUGCGUGCAAAGAAUCGCACAAACUUAGCCAUCGGAGAUAAGAUCGAAGUGAAAGUCGUAAACUUUGAUGUUACCAAAAAACGGAUCGGUUUGUCGUUGGUCAGUUUCCUUUAAGAACAACAGUUGGGUAGACCUUAAGUUUUUAACAUUAACACUUUAAGCAUUCAGAUUAUUCUGUCAAAUAUAAGGUUCAUUCAUACACAUUGUUUUGAGCUAAUCAUGCUUUAUUUCAUAACUUCAAGAUUUUGACGAUGUGAGAAUUAUUUUUUCAGAAUGAGAUUUUAGAGUAGGUGUGAGAGGCUGAAUCUGGUUAGUUUGAACAUAGAACAGGUAGGAUAUGGGAGCAAUAUAAAUACUAAAGUGUUAAAUUUAGUCACAGAGAUAUUUUACAUCUCUGGGCCAUUUGCAUGAUCAAGAAAUUAAAAUUAUUUUGAUAAUAAAUUUGUUUCU